rnacentral:sRNA from 1 species
CCCUAGCCCUGAUAGAAGGGAAAAUCCUUUUUUAUCUGCCACUGCGGAUAAAAAAGAUUGGAAUGAUAGCAGGAAUAGCU